rnacentral:rRNA from 1 species
AGGAUGAACGCUGGCGGCGUGCCUAAUACAUGCAAGUCGAGCGGUAAGGCCCCUUCGGGGGUACACGAGCGGCGGACGGCUGAGUAACACGUAGGAACGUACCCAAACUGAGGGAUAAGCACCAGAAAUGGUGUCUAAUACCGCAUGUGGUCUUCGGAUUAAAGCUUCGGCGGUUUGGGAACGGCCUGCGCAUGAUUAGCUUGUUGGUGAGGUAAAAGCUUACCAAGGCGACGAUCAUUAGCUGGUCUGAGAGGAUGAUCAGCCAGACUGGGACUGAGAACGGCCCAGACUCCUACGGGAGGCAGCAGUAGGGAAUUUUCCACAAUGGGCGAAAGCCUGAUGGAGCAACGCCGCGUGCAGGACGAAGGCCUUCGGGUUGUAAACUGCUUUUAUAUGUGAAGAUUAUGACGGUAGCAUAUGAAUAAGGAUCGGCUAACUCCGUGCCAGCAGCCGC